UACGGAGGGUGCAAGCGUUAAUCGGAAUUACUGGGCGUAAAGCGCACGUAGGCGGUUCGUUAAGCUAGCUGUGAAAGCCCCGGGCUCAACCUGGGAAUUGCAGUUAGAACUGGCGAGCUGGAGUACGGUAGAGGGGUGUGGAAUUUCAGGUGUAGCGGUGAAAUGCGUAGAUAUCUGAAGGAACAUCAGUGGCGAAGGCGACACCCUGGACCGAUACUGACGCUGAGGUGCGAAAGCGUGGGGAGCAAACAGG
rnacentral:misc_RNA from 1 species